CCCAGGUGCUAUCUAGCCCUACAUCCAGUGGAAAAGAAGAUUCAGACUGAGGAGGCUAGGGCUCCUUCUCUCAUGUUCCCCUGGAGCCCAUGGUAAAUGUUGAAGUAGGAGGCCAACAGGUCCAUUUCCUGGUGGACACCGGAGCUGAGAGUGGUCUGAUCCAGGUUCCAGCAACUGCGGCCAGCUGAUGUGGACCCAGCUGCCUCAAGGAUUCAAAAAUGCACCCACCCUGUUCAGUGACGCCCUCCCAUAGGGCUUGGUUUAGAAAACUGUUCACUUCCAAGUGCAAGCUACUCAACCCCUGCCCAGCUCUGCACUGUGCCACCCA